GACGAACGCUGGCGGCGUGCUUAACACAUGCAAGUCGAACGGAAAGGCCCUGCUUUUGUGGGGUGCUCGAGUGGCGAACGGGUGAGUAACACGUGAGUAACCUGCCCUUGACUUUGGGAUAACUUCAGGAAACUGGGGCUAAUACCGGAUAGGAGCUCCUGCUGCAUGGUGGGGGUUGGAAAGUUUCGGCGGUUGGGGAUGGACUCGCGGCUUAUCAGCUUGUUGUGGGGUAGUGGCUUACCAAGGCUUUGACGGGUAGCCGGCCUGAGAGGGUGACCGGCUACAUUGGGACUGAGAUACGGCCCAGACUCCUACGGGAGGCAGCAGUGGGGAAUAUUGCACAAUGGGCGGAAGCCUGAUGCAGCAACGCCGCGUGCGGGAUGACGGCCUUCGGGUUGUAAACCGCUUUCGCCUGUGACGAAGCGUGAGUGACGGUAAUGGGUAAAGAAGCACCGGCUAACUACGUG
rnacentral:rRNA from 1 species